rnacentral:pre_miRNA from 1 species
UGCAGAAGUAGACAUGAGUGAUAUUGUUUCUGUUCAUCUUAUUAAUUAAUGAAUGAAACACAUUUGCUUAAUUAUAAGACGAGCCGAAUCAAUAUCACUCGAGUACACUUCACU